rnacentral:rRNA from 1 species
GACAGAGGAGGCAAGCGUUGUUCGGAAUCAUUGGGCUUAAAGGGCGUGUAGGCGGCGGCGCAAGUGUCGAGUGAAAUCCCAUCGCUCAACGAUGGAACGGCUCGGCAAACUGCGUCGCUUGAGGUCGGUAGAGGUGCUCGGAACUCUAGGUGGAGCGGUGAAAUGCGUAGAUAUCUAGAGGAACGCCUGAGGCGAAAAGCGGGGGCACUGGGCCGAUACUGACGCUGAGACGCGAAAGCGUGGGGAGCAAACAGG